UUACCGNUUUGACAUGAUAGAGAUUCCUUCGGGCACAGGUGCUGCAUGGUUGUCGUCAGCUCGUGCCGUGAGGUGUUGGGUUAAGUCCCGCAACGAGCGCAACCCUAUUUCUGUUACCAUCAAUGGGACUCAGGAAGACUGCCAGUGACAACCGGAGGAAGGUGGGGACGACGUCAAAUCAUCAUGGCCCUUAUACCGGGCUACACACGUGCUACAAUGGAGUACAAGUGGCACCGCGAGGGGAGCAAACGCAAAACUGUCUCAGUUCGGAUUGGAGUCUGAAACUCGACUCCAUGAAGGUGGAAUCGCUAGUAAUCGCGAUCAGUAUGCGCGGUGAAUACGUUCCCGGGCCUUGUACACACCGCCCGUCACACCACCCGAGUUGGGGACCGAA
rnacentral:rRNA from 1 species